AAAAUUAUGGCAGGAGAGAUACCAUAAUCACGAAGGUGGUUUUCCCAGGGCGAGGCUUAUCCAUUGCACUCCAGAUGUGCAGACCCCUGCGAUUUCCCCAAUGUGGGAAACUCAACUGCUUAAUUUGUGGUAGUGGGGGACUGCAUUCG
rnacentral:snRNA from 1 species